AUUGAACGCUGGCGGCAGGCCUAACACAUGCAAGUCGAACGGUAACAGGAAGAAGCUUGCUUCUUUGCUGACGAGUGGCGGACGGGUGGGUAAUGUAUGGGAAACUGCCUGAUGGAGGGGGAUAACUACUGGAAACGGUAGCUAAUACCGCAUAACGUCGCAAGACCAAAGAGGGGGGCAUUCGGGCCUAUCGCCAUCGGAUGUGCCCAGAUGGGAUUAGCUAGUAGGUGGGGUAACGGCUCACCUAGGCGACGAUCCCUAGCUGGUCUGAGAGGAUGACCAGCCACACUGGAACUGAGACACGGUCCAGACUCCUACGGGAGGCAGCAGUGGGGAAUAUUGCACAAAGGGCGCAAGCCUGAUGCAGCCAUGCCGCGUGUAUGAAGAAGGCCUUCGGGUUGUAAAGUACUUUCAGCGGGGAGGAAGGGAGUAAAGUUAAUACCUUGCCUCAUUGACGUUACCCGCAGAAGAAGCACCGGCUAACUCCGUG
rnacentral:rRNA from 1 species